rnacentral:misc_RNA from 1 species
CUUGGUUACACAGGCAGUUCAGCGAGAACGAGCGAUAGAAGGAAAAGAAGAUGAAGCUGAAAGUAUAUGCAGAUCGAAUGUCCCAGCCUUCACGGGCCGUUAUCAUCUUCUGCAAGCAAUUAGCAUUUGCAAUUCAUUAUUGUUUUGCUCGAUUCCGAUCAAAAUGAUUUAUAGCUGCAAAUUUAAAGGUGGAUUUUGGUUUUUCUUGAGUAUAUUUCAUUUGGGUAUUUGUGUACAGGGUAAACGGAAUAGACUUCGAGGAAGUCAGAAUAGACAUAACCAAGCGCCAGCAGUUAUCUACUGAAUUCAAAGGUUUCUCCUUUCUUCCCUGUUUUUGUUUUAAUUUUCUGUGCUUUCUUGGUUUAGGAAAUCUCAGAGAACGCUAAUUUUGCAAAGUUCAAUGGUUACAGCAUACUGUCACAAUUAUUUUUGCAUUAGCCAUUAGCACUGUCGUCGUUGACGGCUUCACAUGAUGAUUAAUAUAAGUAAUUGACAAUGUUAGUUUUGAAGAUCAAAGCGAUAGCAAAACUUUUUUCAAAUGAAAUCCUCUUCAUUUCUAUGUAAGGAUUGUUAAGGAAUCAUUCCAUCCAUCUAAUAUGGAGUGGAGAGAUUAAUGUCAUUAAAGAAAUGGAAAUGAGCUUCACCCUUCAGGUUUUUACUGUUGCUUGCAUUCUUGGUUCAAAACUGAUCUUGCAUUCCAAAAGAAAUUGCUCUAACAGAGUGUCAAUGGUACUCGUUAGAUUAAGAAAUUUAAAGUAGCAUUUGCCAUUUUAUCAUACCUAAAGAAAGCAGUUACUCUCGAACGAAGAAGAAGAAGAAGAAGAACACUAAUAAAUUUUCUUUUAUUAUUGUUGUUUUAAGUAUUAGUUUACAUGAACAAAAGUUUUCAACACCUUGAGUUCCUCUAUCUUUGCCUCAAACGACGACUCCACACUCCCACAGGAACUCAUUCAAGCAUGAAAUAAAACAGAGGACCAAAGCAGAGCCUAAUUACAGAACAUUCUAAUUUGCACACACACGUUCAUGCCUUAAUCAACUUCUUCGAUCUUGGGCCCGGCACCAGAACCGCCGGAGCUAGUCUUGCCAUAGUUGCUGUUCGGCAUUUCGGCGCCACCCACUGGUACAUCACCCUCAGCACCGCCCUGAUACAUCUUUGCAAUAAUUGGAUUGCACAAGCCCUCAAGCUCCUUCAACUUGUCCUCAAACUCCUCCACCUCUGCUAAUUGGUUUCUGUCCAACCACUCAAUAGUCUCAUCAAUUGCCUUUUCAAUCUUCCCCUUGUCGGCUGGAGCCAAUUUUCCGGCGAACUUGUCAUCCUUCACUGUAUUUCUCAUGUUGUAUGCGUAGUUCUCCAAAGAGUUCUUGGCCUCCACCUUCUUCUUCACCUCCUCAUCCUCUGCUUUGUACUUCUCUGCUUCUUGCACCAUUCUUUCAAUCUCUUCCUUGCUCAAUCUUCCUUUAUCGUUAGUGAUUGUUAUCUUGUUCUUCACUCCAGCAGUCUUAUCCUCAGCAGAGACAUUCACAAUACCAUUGGCGUCAAUGUCGAAACACACAUUAAUCUGAGGAACGCCUCUGGGUGCAGGAGGGAUUCCGGUGAGCUCGAAUUUUCCAAGAAGAUUAUUAUCCUUGGUUCUAGCUCUUUCACCUUCAUACACCUGAAUAAGCACUCCUGGUUGAUUAUCAGAGUAUGUAGAGAAGAUUUGCUCUUUUUUGGUAGGAAUAGUGGUGUUCCUUGGAAUCAAGACUGUCAUUACACCACCAGCAGUCUCAAUUCCGAGGCUGAGAGGAGUAACAUCCAAGAGAAGUAAAUCUUGAACUUUCUCAUCCCCUUCACCACUAAGAAUUGCAGCUUGGACAGCUGCUCCAUAAGCGACAGCCUCGUCGGGGUUUAUGCUCUUGCAGAGCUCCUUUCCGUUGAAGAUAUCUUGCAAAAGUUGCUGAACUUUAGGAAUUCUUGUUGACCCACCAACGAGCACAACGUCAUGAACUUGACUCUUAUCGAUCUUGGAGUCACGAAGACAUUUCUCCACGGGUUCCAUGCACUUUCUAAACAAAUCCAUGUUCAGCUCUUCAAAUCUUGCUCUAGUGAUGGUCGCAUAGAAAUCAAUCCCUUCGUAGAGAGAAUCAAUCUCAAUGGUUGUUUGCGAGGUUGAAGACAGAGUCCUCUUUGCCCUCUCGCAGGCGGUUCUCAACCUUCUCAAGGCUCUCGCAUUAGUACUAAUAUCCUUCUUGUGCUUCCUCUUGAACUCUGCAACGAAAUGGUUGACAAGCCUAUUAUCGAAGUCCUCUCCUCCAAGGUGGGUGUCUCCAGCUGUUGCCUUCACUUCAAAUAUACCCUCCUCGAUCGUCAGAAGAGAAACAUCAAAUGUCCCUCCACCAAGAUCGAAAAUCAACACGUUCUUUUCUCCAGUACUCGAACCUUUCUUGUCCAAACCGUAAGCAAUGGCUGCAGCAGUAGGCUCAUUGAUAAUUCUCAACACGUUUAGACCUGCAAUAGCACCAGCAUCCUUAGUGGCCUGUCUCUGCGAGUCAUUGAAAUAAGCAGGCACUGUGAUCACGGCAUUCUUCACUGUCUGACCCAGAUAAGCCUCUGCAAUCUCCUUCAUCUUGGUUAGCACCAUAGAAGAAAUCUCCUCAGCAGAAAAUUGUUUCUCUUCG